rnacentral:rRNA from 1 species
UACAGAGGUCCCAAGCGUUGUUCGGAUUUAUUGGGCGUAAAGGGUGCGUAGGUGGCAAAGUAAGUUGGAUGUGAAAUCCUGGGGCUUAACCUCAGAAUUGCAUUCAAUACUGCUUAGCUAGAGAGCUGUAGAGGAGACUGGAAUUUACGGUGUAGCAGUGAAAUGCGUAGAUAUCGUAAGGAACGCCAGUGGCGAAAGCGAGUCUCUGGGCAGCAUCUGACACUGAGGCACGAAGGCCAGGGGAGCAAACGGG